rnacentral:rRNA from 1 species
UAAGAGAAGUUUUUUAAUAAACGAAGUGAAUUGAAAUAUCUUAGUAACUUCAGGAAAAGAAAUCAAAAGAGAUUCUAUAAGUAGCGUGAGUGAAAGUAGAGGAGCCUAUUUAAUAACAAGUAAAAUGGUUUAGAAACUGUUUGAAUUUAUUGCUUGAUCCCUGUAAGGGAAAGGGCCCGGGGAACCUUCCUCAAAGGCUAAAUAUAAUACAUAAGCGAUAGUGAAUAGUAUCGUGAGAUAAUGAUUAGAAUUAGUAGUUUUAUAAGCAGUUCGAGCUAAAGUGAGAACGUACCUUUUGCAUAAUGGGUCACCAAGUUAACAUUAGAUGCGAGUGAAAGCGUAGGUAAACCAAUCGUUAAAAUAACGAAGAGUGUCUAAAGUUAGACCCGAAGCCUGGUGAUUUUACCAUAAUCAGGAUUAUAAAAGUCCGAACGGGUUAUCGUUGUAAAGAUAUCCGAAGAAUUAUGGUAGGUAGUGAAAGACAACACUGACUAGGAUAGCUGGUUUUCUGCGAAACCUAUAACAGUAGGCAAUUUGAGUAACAUCUUAGCAGGUACAGAAUUUAAUCUCAGACAAGAUGUUCUAAUUUUAGUUCGGCGACGAACUAAAACAACAUGUUGAUUUGUAUAUAUCGGGGGAUCGUGAAGAUUUUAUCGGUGAGUAUGUAGACUCGGAAUGGCAAAGAUGGAUCUUGAAUUAUCAGACAUAGAAUGAUAAGGUUGUAUGUCAAAAGGGAAACAGCCCAGAACAAGAGUUAAGGUUCCAAAAUUAUUAGUUAAGUGAAAUUAAGAAGGUUAUUAUUAAAGUCGACAAGGAGAUGGGCUUAGAAGCAGCCAAAUUUUGAAGACCUCGUAACAGAGCGCUUGUUAAGUUUUAAAAGCAUCGAAAAUUUAACGGAUCUAAACAAUAUACCGACACCUUGUCCAUAUUUUACUAUAUAUAUUAUUGUAAUUUAGUGGGGUAGCAGAACGUUGAAUUAAAUUAGGAUAUUUCUUCUGUGAAGAAAUAUAUAACAAACAAUUCAAGUGAGAAUGGUGACAUGAGUAACGAAUAAGAAGGACAUUUUACCGAAAAAGCCUAGUAAAAUCUCUACGUAUCAUAACUAUGGUAAAUAGGGAUUCCCUUCCUCUGGGAGGGAUCGCCUCUUUUAAGAGUAGUAAUCUUCUUUAUGAUGAUUACUUAGAGUUACUAGGUAUUUGAGUAAGUACUAAAUCCUCCGCCUAAAGCUUAUGGAUGGAAAAAUAUGCCCCUUAAAGUAACGGCCUCUAAGUUAUAAAUCUAAAGGUUUAAACGAUGAGAAAAUCUUUUUUACUAAAUGACAACACUUACAAGUGAUAAGUGUGCUGGAAAAAAUAGUAAUAUAUUUUGUUAAGUAUAUACAAUAAACUAAAGAGAUGAGUAUAGAAAGAGAAGAUGAAAAAAUAACCGUACCUAGAAACUAAAACAAGUAAGCUAGUAGAGAAUACGAAGGCGUAAAUGAGCUAACAAUCAUAAAGGAACUCGGCAAACUAACUACCGUAACUUCGGGAUAAGGAGAGCUCAUUAGUCCUGAUUAAUAUCGGGUAAAAAGGAAGAAGCAUAAAAUAGUGUUGUACGACUGUUUAAUUAAAACACAGCACUUUGCUAAAAGAUUAAAAAUCGAAGUAUUGAGUGUGAUGUCUGCCCGAUGCCGGCUGGUUAACGAAUAUAACUAAAUUGAUCAAUAAAUUUGGUGUUGAAGGAACCCCCGGUUAAUGGCGGCCUUAACGUGAGGGUCCUAAGGUAGCGAAAUGCCUUGGCCGUUAAAUGCGGUCUUGCAUGAAUGAUGUAACGAUACAACAGCUGUCUCUAUGAUUGACUCAGUGAAAUUGGAAUAACUGUGCAGAUACAGUUUACCUCUAGUUAGACGAGAAGACCCUAUGCAGCUUUACUGUUACUAAUUAUAGGGUAUGAUGAAUUAAUUUUCAGAUUAUAAGGUACAUUGAUUCAAUAAAAAUGAAAAUCCUUUAUUUUCACGUCAUACUUCAGAAUUAAUUUUGGAAAUUCACCUGGCUGGAAUGGCGACUUCGUCAUUUAGGCGGGAGUGAAAGAAAAGAUUAACCUAGUCUGACAUAUAAGUAGCCUUAGGUAAGGAAUAUAUUGUUAGGAGACAGUUUAUGUGGGGCACAGACCCCUUAAAGAGUAAAAGGGAGUGUCUAAAAUUUAUUUGUUAUAAAAUUUAUAACGUUGUUUGUGGUUUUAUGUAGUUUUACUAUAUUUAAUCUUAUGAAAUUCACUUUAUCUACCCUUGUUGUAGAUACGGAUGGAUCUAAGGUACGAUUUUCACUAUGGUGAAAGUAGCGGUAUAGAAAAAAAUAUUAUGAAUAGCGACGUCGUCGCUAUUCUAAUGUUUUUGGAGUUAUUAAGGUGACUGGUCGGAAAAUCUCCCCCCCGCUCUUAAUAAUAAUGAUAAAUACUUGAAAAGCUCAACGGCUAAUUCGUGCCAUACUGUUUGAUUAACAACAAAUCUUACAGUUGCGUAAGCAGGGCAUAGGAUCACAAGAUGCAAAAAGGAAAGAUCUUGGAUUAUUGGAAAAGCUACGCUAGGGAUAACAGGCUAAUUUGCGCAAGAGUGUACAAAAUGAGUGCGCGGUUUGGCACCUCGAUGUCGGCUUAACUUAUCCUCAUGGAUGCAGAAACUAUGUAGGGUACGACUGUUCGUCGAUUAAAAAGUUACAUGAGCUGGGUUAAAUACGUCGUGAGACAGUAUGGUUUCUAUCUUCUAGAGGGAAUUUGAAUAAAAUAAGGAUUAACCUUUGUACGAAAGGAACAGGAAAAACUUAACCCAAAAGGUUAGGUUAUAUUAAUUGUUAACCUCUGGUUUACCUGUUGUUUAUAAGCCCAAUAUUAAUUUAUUCUAAAAAUUUAUGAUUUUUAUAAGGGAUGUUACUUACACUAAAGUAAAUAUAUAUUAUAGGCACGGCAGGAAAGCUAAGUUAGUUAAAGAUAAGUGCUGAAAGCAUAUAGGCACGAAGCUUACCUUAAGAUAUUUCUAAUUCACGUAAUAUACUAUUACGGCAUAAUAUUAUUAUUAUUGCAAUAGGCUUUGUUUGUAAUGAUCUAGAGAUCUUAAGA